UACGAAGGGGGCUAGCGUUGCUCGGAAUCACUGGGCGUAAAGGGUGCGUAGGCGGGUCUUUAAGUCAGGGGUGAAAUCCUGGAGCUCAACUCCAGAACUGCCUUCGAUACUGGAGAGCUUGAGUCCGGGAGAGGUGAGUGGAACUGCGAGUGUAGAGGUGAAAUUCGUAGAUAUCGAGAGGAACACCGGCGGCGAAGGCGGCCCACUGGACGAAUACUGACGCUGAGACACGAAAGCGUGGGGAGCAAACAGG
rnacentral:rRNA from 1 species